AACUGCAUGGUUCGAAAUUGAAAGGCGGCUUCGGCUGUCACUUAUGGAUGGACCCGCGUCGCAUUAGCUAGUUGGUGAGGUAACGGCUCACCAAGGCAACGAUGCGUAGCCGACCUGAGAGGGUGAUCGGCCACACUGGGACUGAGACACGGCCCAGACUCCUACGGGAGGCAGCAGUAGGGAAUCUUCCGCAAUGGACGAAAGUCUGACGGAGCAACGCCGCGUGAGUGAUGAAGGCUUUCGGGUCGUAAAACUCUGUUGUUAGGGAAGAACAAGUGCUAGUUGAAUAAGCUGGCACCUUGACGGUACCUAACCAGAAAGCCACGGCUAACUACGUGCCAGCAGCCGCGGUAAUACGUAGGUGGCAAGCGUUAUCCGGAAUUAUUGGGCGUAAAGCGCGCGCAGGUGGUUUCUUAAGUCUGAUGUGAAAGCCCACGGCUC
rnacentral:rRNA from 2 species